AUUGAACGCUGGCGGCAUGCCUUACACAUGCAAGUCGAACGGCAGCACGGGGGCAACCCUGGUGGCGAGUGGCGAACGGGUGAGUAACAUAUCGGAACAUACCCUAGAGUGGGGGGAUAACGUAGCGAAAGUUACGCUAAUACCGCAUACGAUCUAAGGAUGAAAGUGGGGGGAUCUUCGGACCUCAUGCUCAUGGAGUGGCCGAUAUCUGAUUAGCUAGUUGGUGAGGUAAAGGCUCACCAAAGGGCGACGAUCAGUAGCUGGUUUGAGAGAACGACCAGCCACACUGGAACUGAGACACGGUCCAGACUCCUACGGAGGCAGCAGUGGGGAAUUUUGGACAAUAGGGGCAACCCUGAUCCAGCAA
rnacentral:rRNA from 1 species